rnacentral:lncRNA from 1 species
GCUGAAGCGCGCAGGCGGGAGACUCUGCAGGAUCCGCGGCCCUGAGCAUCUGAGCGCUCUUCAAGUCUCCGAUUAAAUUUUAAAAAUGGCCUCCAAUAAAACUACAUUGCAAAAAAUGGGAAAGAAACAGAAUGGAAAGAGUAAAAAAGUUGAAGAGGCAGAGCCUGAAGAAUUUGUGGUAGAAAAAGUACUGGACCGUCGUGUAGUGAAUGGGAAGGUGGAGUAUUUCCUGAAGUGGAAGGGGUUCACAGAUGCUGAUAAUACUUGGGAACCAGAAGAAAAUUUAGAUUGUCCAGAAUUAAUUGAAGCAUUUCUUAAUUCUCAAAAAGCUGGUAAAGAAAAAGAUGGUACAAAAAGGAAAUCUUUAUCUGACAGUGAAUCUGAUGAUAGCAAAUCGAAGAAGAAGAGAUGCUGCUGACAAGCCCAGGGGCUUUGCCAGGGGCCUUGACCCUGAGCGAAUAAUCGGUGCCACAGACAGCAGUGGAGAGCUAAUGUUUCUCAUGAAAUGGAAGGACUCAGAUGAAGCUGACUUGGUGCUGGCAAAGGAGGCGAAUAUGAAGUGUCCUCAGAUUGUCAUCGCCUUCUAUGAGGAGAGGCUGACUUGGCAUUCUUGUCCCGAAGAUGAAGCACAAUAAUUGUUUGCAUUUAUAUAUAUAUAUUUAUAUAUAUAUAUAUAUAAUCUGGAUCUUGGGUUUUGAAUUACUAGUGUGGAAAAAAUAGCAUUCUAAUGAAAAUCAAGUUUGAUAUGCUGGUUUUGAAAGUAUUGACAGUAGUUGGGAUAUUUUUGGUUUUUGUUCUGCAUCAAAAGGCACUGAUUCCUUUGAGCAAGUGAGAGCUUUCUGUAGUUGCUUCCUUUAACAGUAGAAUAUUUGAUACCAUGUUGUAUUUCCUCAGCUUUGAAGAACAGCUUUUCUUAAUUGCUGGGGAGAUUUUACAGUCAUUACUCAAGUCAGAACUUAUUUUUAACUGGGACACAGAAGGACCAUUCUGGGUUUUUUUGUUUGUUUGUUCGUAUGCAGUGUAUGCAUAAAACACUUACAUAACC